AGGAACACGUACGAGACCUGCCCUGUGGUGGGGAAUAACCCUUCGAAAGAGGGGCUAAUGCCGCAUACGCUCAUUGGGGUGAUACCGGAUGAGGAAAGCCGAGAGGCGCCAGAGGAGGGGCGUGCGGCCGAUUAGCUGGUUGGUGGGGUAACGGCCUACCAAGGCUGCGAUCGGUAGCUGGUCUGAGAGGAUGGACAGCCACACUGGGACUGAGACACGGCCCAG
rnacentral:rRNA from 1 species